GAUGAACGCUAGCUACAGGCUUAACACAUGCAAGUCGAGGGACCGGCUCACGGGUGAGUAACACGUAUCCAGCCUGCCCUUUAAUCGGGGAUAGCCUUUCGAUAGAAAGAUUAAUACCCGAUGUAAAGGAUGGGGAUGCGUUCCAUUAGGUUGUUGUUGAGGGAACGGUUCACCAAGCCUUCGAUGGAUAGGGGUUCUGAGAGGAAGGUCCCCCGCAUUGGAACUGAGACAAGGUCCAAACGCGUACGGGAGGCAGGGGUGAGGAAUAUUUGUCAAGGGGCGCUAGCCUGAAACAGCCAAGUAGCGUGAAGGAUGAAGGCUUAUGGGGCGUAAUCUUCUAGGAUAUAAGAAUAUGUAUUAUAUGAAUAAGGAUCGGCUAACUACGUGCCAGCAGCCGCGGUAAUAC
rnacentral:rRNA from 1 species